rnacentral:rRNA from 1 species
AGAGUUUGAUUCUGGCUCAGAACGAACGCUGGCGGCGUGGAUAAGACAUGCAAGUCGAACGAGAGAAUUGCUAGCUUGCUAAUGAUUCUCUAGUGGCGCACGGGUGAGUAACACGUGAGUAACCUGCCCCCGAGAGCGGGAUAGCCCUGGGAAACUGGGAUUAAUACCGCAUAGUAUCGAAAGAUUAAAGCAGCAAUGCGCUUGGGGAUGGGCUCGCGGCCUAUUAGUUAGUUGGUGAGGUAACGGCUCACCAAGGCGAUGACGGGUAGCCGGUCUGAGAGGAUGAACGGCCACACUGGAACUGAGACACGGUCCAGACACCUACGGGUGGCAGCAGUCGAGAAUCAUUCACAAUGGGGGAAACCCUGAUGGUGCGACGCCGCGUGGGGGAAUGAAGGUCUUCGGAUUGUAAACCCCUGUCAUGUGGGAGCAAAUUAAAAAGAUAGUACCACAAGAGGAAGAGACGGCUAACUCUGUGCCAGCAGCCGCGGUAAUACAGAGGUCUCAAGCGUUGUUCGGAAUCACUGGGCGUAAAGCGUGCGUAGGCUGUUUCGUAAGUCGUGUGUGAAAGGCGCGGGCUCAACCCGCGGACGGCACAUGAUACUGCGAGACUAGAGUAAUGGAGGGGGAACCGGAAUUCUCGGUGUAGCAGUGAAAUGCGUAGAUAUCGAGAGGAACACUCGUGGCGAAGGCGGGUUCCUGGACAUUAACUGACGCUGAGGCACGAAGGCCAGGGGAGCGAAAGGGAUUAGAUACCCCUGUAGUCCUGGCAGUAAACGGUGCACGCUUGGUGUGCGGGGAA